GACGGAUCGGAUCCAUGACACGGGACCCAUUAAAGGGUCGAUCGAUUGGGCGACGAAGGCUGAAACCCUAACGUCUCCCGCUGCUCUUCGGUGCGCCUUCCUUCGUGUCGCCUCUCGCUGGAUGAUCUGUAUGCAUGGUUUUGUUUGGAGGACGCGAGCAGUAAUCCUGACGCAAAGAGUGCAGAAGAUCUGCUGAAGAUGAAGAUAAUGGAGCAGACGAACGGAGAUGAGGCGAGGCCCGAUCGCCAUUUUUAGUGUUAUUCUAAGUAAAAUCGCGCGACCCUACAACCCUAGAUCGGUGGUGCGCCUCCCCAUUCCGACGGUGCCGCACUCUCUCUCAGCGGUGUGUAUUUCUUAGUGCUGAUCCUUUCUUUAGCAGGCUUCUUCUUUGUAAUCUUUUGCUCUUAUUUUAAUUUCGGAUUUGUUAUACACCUCUGAUGUUGUCGGGGUGCUUAACCUGUUGAUCAGUCCUUGUGCAUAAGAACCUUCGAAUCAUCACAUGGAAGAUCCUCUGUUCAUGGUUCUGAUAUCUAUCAUUAUCUCAUUUAUACUUGCACAUAAAAAUUAUGAUCAUUAUUCUUACACUUAGGACAUACAUAAAAUUCAAUGUGCACUUGCCGGAUGAUGUUGGGAAAUUGCGCAAGGGCUUUGAGCACAGCAUGACAUUGCAAGUUGCAAUGAGAUAAUCUCAAGAUCUUCCCUCCUGACGGCAGUUAUUAUUGGGAGAUUGAAAAUAUUGUUUUUUAUUUAUUUUCCUUUUCUUUUGAUGUUCGCUUCUGUUCUCUGAAUUCACGUAGGUUGAAUUUGGAGAUGCCUUUGAAAGCUUCCAUUCUCGAUUUACCAAAAGCUUUUUCCUUUAGAGAGAUGACGAGAAUUGGUCUUAAUAUGUGAAGCUCUUUCUAGUUUUAAUGCUCAUUUAUAUUUUGGUGCCAACUUUUACACCUCAUUUUGAGGCUUUUUAACAUAAUUUGAUUGUUAUUGUUUUAGUAUUUUAAGUGGGAAUGAGGCUAGUGUGAACCCUUUUGGCUCUCAUCUGGAGGCUUUCUUUCCUCUUCUAUGCUAUAUGGAUUACAUGACACAAGUGAGCCUUUCUGAAGCUUCUGCAAAGAUCCUCUUCUAGUAGAGGUUGCAUAUUAACAAUUUCUACCGGUAGCAAAUUGACUUAGAAAUCUGGUGAAUGUGCUUAUGACGUGUUGCUCAGUCUCUGCUCAUGGUUCUGAGAUGAUCCAUCAAUAUCUCAGCUAAAAUUGCACAUAAAAAUUGUAUUUACAAUUAUGUUAUAUAAAAUUGAAUGUGCACUUGCAGUUGGCGCA